rnacentral:rRNA from 1 species
AUUUUCCGGUUGAUCCUGCCGGACCCGACUGCUAUCAGAGUGGGACUAAGCCAUGCGAGUCAACAUAGCAAUAUGUGGCAUACGGCUCAGUAACACGUAGUCAACAUGCCCAGGGGACGUGGAUAACCUCGGGAAACUGAGGAUAAACCGCGAUAGGUCAUCACUUCUGGAAUGGGUAAUGACUUAAAUCUAUAUGGCCCCUGGAUUGGACUGCGGCCGAUCAGGCUGUUGGUGAGGUAAUGGCCCACCAAACCUGUAACCGGUACGGGCUCUGAGAGGAGGAGCCCGGAGAUGGGCACUGAGACAAGGGCCCAGGCCCUAUGGGGCGCAGCAGGCGCGAAACCUCUGCAAUAGGCGAAAGCUUGACAGGGUUACUCUGAGUGAUUUCCGUUAAGGAGAUCUUUUGGCACCUCUAAAAAUGGUGCAGAAUAAGGGGUGGGCAAGUCUGGUGUCAGCCGCCGCGGUAAUACCAGCACCCCGAGUGGUCGGGACGUUUAUUGGGCCUAAAGCAUCCGUAGCCGGUUCUACAAGUCUUCCGUUAAAUCCACCUGCUUAACAGAUGGGCUGCGGAAGAUACUAUAGAGCUAGGAGGCGGGAGAGGCAAGCGGUACUCGAUGGGUAGGGGUAAAAUCCGUUGAUCCAUUGAAGACCACCAGUGGCGAAGGCGGCUUGCCAGAACGCGCUCGACGGUGAGGGAUGAAAGCUGGGGGAGCAAACCGGAUUAGAUACCCGGGUAGUCCCAGCUGUAAACGAUGCAGACUCGGUGAUGAGUUGGCUUAUUGCUAACUCAGUGCCGCAGGGAAGCCGUUAAGUUUGCCGCCUGGGGAGUACGGUCGCAAGACUGAAACUUAAAGGAAUUGGCGGGGGAGCACCACAAGGGGUGAAGCCUGCGGUUCAAUUGGAUUCAACGCCGGAAAUCUC